rnacentral:rRNA from 1 species
UAAUACGUAGGUGGCAAGCGUUGUCCGGAUUUACUGGGCGUAAAGCGUAUGCAGGCGGGUUUUUAAGUAGGAAGUGAAAGGUUGGAGCUCAACUCCAACACUGCUCCCUAUACUGGGAAUCUUGAGUGCCGGAGAGGAAGACGGAACGACACGUGUAGCGGUGAAAUGCGUUGAGAUGUGUCGGAACACCAAUGGCGAAAGCAGUCUUCUGGACGGAUACUGACGCUGAGAUACGAAAGCCAAGGUAGCAAACAGGAUUAGAUACCCUGGUAGUCUUGGCCAUAAACGAUGUUCACUAGGUGUCGGGGGUUUCCCUCGGUGCCGCAGCUAACGCAUUAAGUGAACCGCCUGGGGACUACGGCCGCAAGGUUG